rnacentral:ncRNA from 1 species
UCACUCAGAAGAGGUGCGUUACUCAGGUAGUCGUCGGGGAGACCCGCUCAAGUCCGACGAUCAGGGGAGUAACGCCGAGGCCAAUGCCUGCGGGACGGGCAAAGGUCGGCUACGAGGGCUGAAUCCCUCGGGCUGUCACCGCCAUCGGCGGUGGAGAGCUUCUGAUAUG